rnacentral:rRNA from 1 species
UACGAAGGGGGCUAGCGUUGCUCGGAAUCACUGGGCGUAAAGGGCGCGUAGGCGGGCUCUUAAGUCAGGGGUGAAAGCCCAAGGCUCAACCUUGGAAUUGCCUUUGAUACUGAGGGCCUUGAGACCGGAAGAGGUCGGCGGAACUGCGAGUGUAGAGGUGAAAUUCGUAGAUAUUCGCAAGAACACCAGUGGCGAAGGCGGCCGACUGGUCCGGUUCUGACGCUGAGGCGCGAAGGCCAGGGGAGCAAACGGG